AUGAAUAACAAUAAUGGGGGUUUAUACAGGGUAUUAUGGUACAGAGUCAUUGUGGAGGCUAUAUACAGAGUAUUACGGUACAGAGUCAAUGUGGAGGCUACAUACAGGGUAUUACGGUACAGAGUCAAUGUGGAGGCUAUAUACAGAGUAUUACGGUACAGAGUCAAUGUGGAGGCUACAUACAGGGUAUUACGGUACAGAGUCAAUGUGGAGACUAUGUACAGGGGGUACCGGUACAGAGUCAAUGUGGAGGCUAUAUACAGGGGGUACGGGUACAGAGUCAAUGUGGAGGCUAUAAACAGGGGGUACCGGUACAGAGUCAAUGUGGAGGCUAUAUACAGGGGUACCGGUACAGAGUCAAUGUGGAGGCUAUAUACAGGGGUACCGGUACAGAGUCAAUGUGGAGGCUAUAUACAGGGGUACCGGUACAGAGUCAAUGUGGAGGCUAUAUACAGGGGGUACCGGUACAGAGUCAAUGUGGAGGCUAUAUACAGGGGGUACCGGUACAGAGUCAAUGUGGAGGCUAUAUACAGGGGGUACCGGUACAGAGUCAAUGUGGAGGCUAUAUACAGGGUUACCGGUACAGAGUCAAUGUGGAGGCUAUAUACAGGGGAUUCCGGAACAGAGUCAAUGUGGAGGCUAUAUACAGGAGGUGCCGGUACUGAGUCAAUGUGGAGACUAUAUUCAGGGGAUACCAGUACAGAGUCAAUGUGGAGGCUAUAUACAGGGGAUUCCGGAACAGAGUCAAUGUGGAGGCUAUAUACAGGGGAUUCCGGAACAGAGUCAAUGUGGAGGCUAUAUACAGGGGUACCGGUACAGAGUCAAUGUGGAGGCUAUAUACAGGGGGUACCGGUACAGAGUCAAUGUGGAGGCUAUAUACAGGGGGUACCGGUACAGAGUCAAUGUGGAGGCUAUAUACAGGGUUACCGGUACAGAGUCAAUGUGGAGGCUAUAUUCAGGGGAUACCAGUACAAAGUCAAUGUGGAGACUAUAUACAGGGGAUACCAGUACAGUGUCAAUGUGGAGGCUAUAUACAGGGGGUACCAGUACAGUGUCAAUGUGGCACCGGUGUUGAGGUAA
rnacentral:lncRNA from 1 species